ensembl:miRNA
CCAGUCACAUCCCCUUAUCACUUUUCCAGCCAGCUUUGUGACUCUAACUGUUGGACGGAGAACUGAUAAGGGUAGGUGAUUGA